AGGCCCCAGUUUUUGAUUGAAUUACAUCGGAACGUGCCCUGUAGUGGGGGAUAACUAGUCGAAAGAUUAGCUAAUACCGCAUACGACCUGAGGGUGAAAGUGGGGGACGCAAGGCCUCAUGCUAUAGGAGCGGCCGAUGUCUGAUUAGCUAGUUGGUGAGGUAAAGGCUCACCAAGGCGACGAUCAGUAGCUGGUCUGAGAGGACGAUCAGCCACACUGGGACUGAGACACGGCCAGACUCCUACGGGAGGCAGCAGUGGGGAAUUUUGGACAAUGGGCGAAAGCCUGAUCCAGCAAUGCCGCGUGUGUGAAGAAGGCCUUCGGGUUGUAAAGCACUUUUGUCCGGAAAGAAAUGGCUCUGUUAAUACCUGGGGUCGAUGACGGUACCGGAAGAAUAAGGACCGGCUAACUACGUGCCAGCAGCCGCGGUAAUACGUAGGGUCCAAGCGUUAAUCGGAAUUACUGGGCGUAAAGCGUGCGCAGGCGGUGUGCAAGACCGAUGUGAAAUCCCCGAGCUUAACUUGGGAAUUGCAUUGGUGACUGCACGGCUAGAGUGUGUCAGAGGGGGGUAGAAUUCCACGUGUAGCAGUGAAAUGCGUAGAGAUGUGGAGGAAUCCGAUGGCGAAGGCAGCCCCCUGGGAUAACACUGACGCUCAUGCACGAAAGCGUGGGGAGCAAACAGGAUUAGAUACCCUGGUAGUCCACGCCCUAAACGAUGUCAACUAGUUGUUGGGGAUUCAUUCCUUAGUAACGUAGCUAACGCGUGAAGUUGACCGCCUGGGGAGUACGGUCGCAAGAUUAAAACUCAAAGGAAUUGACGGGGACCCGCACAAGCGGUGGAUGAUGUGGAUUAAUUCGAUGCAACGCGAAAACCUUACCUACUCUUGACAUGCCACUAACGAAGCAGAGAUGCAUUAGGUGCUCGAAAGAGAAAGUGGACACAGGUGCUGCAUGGCUGUCGUCAGCUCGUGUCGUGAGAUGUUGGGUUAAGUCCCGAACGAGCGCAACCCUUGUCUCUAGUUGCUACGAAAGCGCACUCUAGAGAGACUGCCGGUGACAAACCCGAGGAAGGUGGGGAUGACGUCAAGUCCUCAUGGCCCUUAUGGGUAGGGCUUCACACGUCUACAAUGGUGCAUACAGAGGGUUGCCAAGCCGCGAGGUGGAGCUAAUCCCAGAAAAUGCAUCGUAGUCCGGAUCGUAGUCUGCAACUCGACUACGUGAAGCGGAAUCGCUAGUAAUCGCGGAUCAGCUGCCGCGGUGAAUACGUUCCCGGGUCUUGUACACACCGCCCGUCACACCAUGGGAGUGGGCCUUUUUUACCC
rnacentral:rRNA from 1 species